UUACUCUCCUUUUUAAUAAAUGUGCUUAUAAACCAAGGACAAGCUAUUUAUAGCUGUAUUUAUAAACUGCUUACUACUGACUAUUAAUAUUGGGACAAGGCUUUAUAAAGCAUGAACUGACUAUUUACUAAUGAGUGCAGUUAUUAUAAAGUGUUAUCAAUGAAUUUGCUAAUGUUAACAAAUUAGACAUUAUUUUACAGUGUUAUCAAAUCCUUAAAUGACUCAUAAGCAUUUGUGAAAGUUCUGCUUGCAUUACAGCUUAGUAUUGAUCUGUGAGCUGAACAGAUUUACUGUUACAUCUAUGAGAUUAUGUAAAUUCAAAUAAAUAUAAUGUCACAGGAUGUCAUAGGUCAGUAUCAAAUGAGUUUGAAAUUAUUAUUUGCAGCACAAAUAAGUUUUUUUUAGGAUUUUUAAAAAUCCCUAAAACUGACAGAAAAAGGUUAAGGCCUAAGCUAUUUCUAUGUGAGUGGCUAAAUUUAUUUUUGUUUUUAUAAUUGUAAUACACAAACUAUGAAAUUAUACAAAAUGUAUAAAAAGGUAAAUAAAUAAAUACGCACACAUUAAAAAAGCAGCCAAGUCGAAUGAGUUUCCUUUUUUAUAUAGAUUAAAAUUGAAGACAGAAGCAAGUGGUAAAUGUGGUCACUUUAAUAUUCAAAUCCAGUAGAUCCAGUUUAUGUUCACGUGGCUGUUUUCGUUUAUAUUCGCCAAGCUAUUAUGUAUUUUGAAAUAAUCUUGUCCGUGAUGUGUUCGUUCGUACGACGAAAGCCAGAAUCCUGCAGCUCCAGAGAUAUGUUAUUCUGCCAGUCGCGCUUUCAAAUAGUCUUGCACACUUAAACAGGUCACAAACACCUGCAUUUAGCUCUUGUGGUGUUACAAUGGGUUUAUUGUGUGCAUUUGUGGUAAUAUUUUAUUUAAAAAAGCUCUUAAACAAGAAUAAAUUCGUUUGUUUUGAGCUCGACACUGUACGCGCUGAUCGGAGGCGUGAUUUCAGAUAGGCAGCCACAAAUAUUUCAUUUUCACACAAACAGUUCAAAAACAUCUGAAUUUAGCUCUUGGUGUGUUCUAAUUGGUUGAUUGUGUGAUAUCGCUGUAAUAAUUUAUUUUUAAAAGCUUUAAAACAGGAAUAAAUUCGUUUUUUCUGAGCUCUUUACUCCAGACGCUCGUGGUCACAGCGGUGAUUCAUCUCUCCUAUUUCUCACGUAUCUCUGGCCAGAAAUAAUUUAUCCAUGAGCCCUGAACCGGUAAUAAUCAGAUAUGUUGGUUUAGCUUGUCAGUGUGAAUUAAAUCUAAGUAUUUAUUUGUAUUUUUAACCGAUUUAAAAGUGAAAGUAAAAGUCCGGGAAUUGAACCUGUAGGGGCGCUAUUUCUCUCAGACAAUGGAAGUCUGAAGCACAUAUACUCAAACUGAGGGACAGAGUGAGAUGAGAUGUCUGACAGUUUUUUAAUUUUCUGUUACCCGUGUUGUAAAGUCGUGAAACUAUCCAUAUUUACUCAGAAUGACUUUUUUUCUGUACGAAAAAAGGUUUUGAAGUGUUUGGAAUUUAAAAAUGCAGGAAAAUUAAUAAUUCCAUUUUUACUGUCAUUUAAAAAAAUCACCACGACAAAACCGUUUAAGCUAUCCAAAAUCCAUUGGCAAUUUAAGUUGUUUAAAAUAUUUUGGCAUCAUGUAGACAAAGUUUGGUGUGUAUAGUGUUACUCUCCUCUGAGCAGUAUGCAUUAAUUCACAGCUAAAUGUAAAAAAAAAUCCACAUUCAAAUCAAAAUAGCUGACUUCCUGUUGAUCGUAGCUGAUGACUGUGAAUUAGAAAGUUGUCCGUCUUGAUAAGAAAAAUUUUUGUACCGAGUUUGGUGUCUGUACCUAAAACUAACCCCGCCACUUUUGACAAAAGGUGGCGCUAUAGAGUGCCUCUUCCACGCCCUCUUAUGAACUUUUGCCAGUGUCUAGUUAUCAUAAAUACUGAUAUGUGUUCUGAGUUUGAUGAAAUUCUAAGCAUGUUAUAUGCCUCAAAAUCACCUGAGAAUUAUUCCAGUUUAACUUGUUGCCACGGCAACAAUAUUUUUAGAUAUCAAUAUCCCCCCAGCAGAUUUAUAUCGGCUGUGUUUUAACAUUAUUCUGAUGAAGUUUGAAGCAAAUCGAGUAAAAAUAAGAUGCUGAAUUCAAAUCAUUUUGAAAAUGACACACUUCCUGCUGCCAGUUGGUGGCGCUAUAACUUUGACUCCUAAUAGUCACAUAUAUGCGAUCGACAUCAUACAACGAAUAAUCUGAUGCAGUUUGAUUAAAAUCAGGAAAUGUAUGUGGAUGGUAUUAGACACUUCCUGUUUCUCAUUUCUCGCCAUAAUUUCAACACCUCGCCACGAGCAAACCGUUCGAGAUAUCAAAAAUCCCCUGGCAAUUUUUCAUCCCCAAUGUCUUGAGAUCAUGUUGACCGAAUUUGGUGGCAAUCGGCAAAAAAACCUAUGACAAGUAUUUCAAAUUCCAGAGCAUGCGCUUUUUACAUAACUCUAAAUAGCUGACUUCCUGUUGGGCGGAGCCGAAUGACAUGCAGUACGAAAGUUGUUCAGCACGAUGAGAUCUAUAUGUGUACUGAGUUUCAUAUUAAUACGAGCAAGUAUGUGUGAGCUAUACAUCAACAUUUAUGACUGUGUUCCAGGGGGCGCCAUAGAGCCCCUGUGCCACGCCCGGGUCCCAGCCUCUGCAGGCUCCUAAAGGCCACAGAUUCCAAAGUGUGCGCAAAUUUUCAAGAGUUUUUGAGUAUGUUAAGGACCCCAAAAGCCCCCACAACUUUGACGAAAAAUAUGAAUACUAAACCCUAAAUAUCCAACUUCCUGUUGGGCGGAGCCUAUGACAUGCAGUACAAAAGUUGUUUGGUUUGAUGAGAUCUACAUGUGUACCGAGUUUCGUGUGUCUACGUGCAAGUAUGUAUGAUAUAUGGCCCUCAGUAUUCCAGGGGGCGCUGUAGAGCCCCUGUGCCACGCCCGUGUAUCAGUCUCUGCCCGGCCCUAAUGGCCGCAGGUUCCAAUGUGUGUGCCAAUUUUCAAGACUUUUUAAGCAUGUUAAGGGCCCCAAAAGCCCCCGAAACCUUGAAGAAAAAUAAUAAUAAAUAUAGCUGCAAGCAGCGAUGGCGGGCUCAAGCCACCAAUGCCAUCACCACCCCGGUGGCAUCAGGUAAACUGUGCCCAGCGGGCACAUGCAUUCACAAUAUCCCUCUGGCAGUGAGGUUUUAAAGGAUAGAGGGGAGCGUAGAGGGGAGCGUGCAUUUGCAGUGGCUGGGCCACGACUCUGGAAUACCCUGCCUUUAGAGAUCAGACUGGCCCCUUCCUUGUCUAUUUUUAAAUCUUUGCUAAAAACUUUUUUAUUUUCCUUAGUGUACUGACUACUGUGUUAUGCUACAUUUUGAAAUGGGUGGUUUUAAAUUUUUUGUCUGGUCUAUUUUUAUGUAUGUGUAAUAUUCUUGCUCUUAUGUUAAAGCACUUUGGUCAGCCAGGAGGCUGUUGUAAAUGCGCUAUACAAAUAAAUUGAACUUGAACUAGAACUUGAACUUGAUAUGGCAGUUAAAGGGUUAAUCCGAAUCAUCUAGACUUUAAAAUCACAUUCACAGAACAAUAUAUAUAUAUAUAUAUAUAUAUAUAUAUAACUUUAGUAACACUUUACAAUAAGAUUUCAUUUAUAAACAUUAUGUUAACAUGAACAAUAUUUAUAUAGCAUUCAUUCAUGUCAGUUAAUAUUCCAAACUUAAACAUUAAAACAUUGUUUUAUUGUGUUUUUUUUCCAAGCACAUUUUACCAAUUCCAAACCAUAUCAAUCUUAAUAACUACCAUUAUUUUUUAUUUAAUCAUUUAUGAGUGCUAUACAAUAGUCCAGGAAAGCUGGAAGAGAAAAACAGGUCAAGAAGAACUGACAAAAAGAAUUACAAAAUAAUUAGGAAUUAAUGUGAAGAUUAAUUUUUAGUCAAUUCUGCAAGACAGACUUUCAGGAAAGGAGGUGGAAUAAAAAUGAGCUCCUAAAUCUUAAUCCCGGAUUCUGGAAGAUAUAUUCCUCAAACCAUCGGACAAGAGGAGGUGGUGCUGGUCCUUCACGAGUCACUCUAAUCUGUUCAUAAAGCCUAUAUAUAAAGUCUUAAUAUAUAGUAUUUCACAAUACUUCAUGGUAUUCUAAUUAAAUCAUUUUUUGGAAUCUUAGAUCUCUCAGAACCUGACACAUUGUAAUUCUGAGACUCCAGGAAAGUGGCAGUUCUGUAAAAUGUUGGCGCUGGAGACUAAAUGCUCCCUGAUAGUUUCACACCUAAUUCAAUUAACACACACACACACACACACACACACACACACACACACACACACAUCACCCACGGUGACAGAGGGACAGAGUGACAUCAGAUGUAUGAUAGUUUUUUUAAUUUUCUGUCAUCCAUAUAGUGUUGUAUAGUCAUGAAACUAUGCAUAUUUCCUCAGAAUGACUUGUCUUCUAUGUGUACAAUUUUUAAAAGUGUUUAGAAGCUGCACUUUAAAACAAUAAAAGAC